rnacentral:lncRNA from 10 species
AAUACACAUCUCAUCAAGGCAGCAAAUCAAAUUGCCUUUUUGAAACAACUUAAAGGCAGAGGAAAAUAUUGACUUAUUAGAUGAUGGCUCUAAUUCUUUUGCAACUGACUUGUCAUCAGGAACUAUUAACCACAAGAAAUACAUCAAGUUUUCUAAAACAAUAGAGAAGGAAAUUUCACCGGAAAUUAGGAGUUUGAGCCCAGAAUAUAAAAAAAUGCUGUUUAGAGAAAUGCUGAUUGCAUGUCUGUGAAAGGAAAUGUAAAGUAAGCCUGGAACAUCUUGUCUUCCGGAGAUAAGGAAACUAUUAAUAAAAAAGACUACUAUCAGGGAUUCAUCAGAAGGACUCAAGAGCCUACUGGAAGAGUCUCCCACCUUUUCCUAUAAAAGAUGAGAAAAUUAGAGCAUCAAUAAGUAUAAUAAUUUCAGGGAAUUAAACUGCAUCAAAUAUA